rnacentral:tRNA from 1 species
UGUGUAGUUCAGUGGUAGAGCUUGUGCUUAAGCAAUUAGGCCCUGGGUUCAAUCCCCAGAACCACAA